rnacentral:rRNA from 1 species
CACGUAGGGCGCGAGCGUUGUCCGGAAUUAUUGGGCGUAAAGAGCUCGUAGGCGGCCUGUUGCGUCCGCUGUGAAAGCCCGGGGCUUAACCCCGGGUCGGCAGUGGAUACGGGCAGGCUAGAGGUAGGUAGGGGAGAAUGGAAUUCCCGGUGUAGCGGUGAAAUGCGUAGAUAUAGGAAGGAACACCAGUGGCGAAGGCGACCACCUGGACUGAUACUGACACUGAGGUGCGAAAGCGUGGGGAGCAAACAGG